CUGCCAUAAGGGUGGUGUCAUCUGCAUAUCUGAGGUUAUUGAUACUUAUCUCGGCAAUCUUGAUUCCAGCUUGUGCUUCUUCCAUCCCAGCGUUUCUCGUGAUGUACUCUUCAUAGAAGUUAAAUAAGCAGGGUGACAGUAUAUGUGAUUUUAAAAGCCAAGAUCUUUCAAGCCACUCUGCUGUGCCUUGUAGGGCUCAAUUCCUAUACCUUUAAGAUAUAUGGGUGGUGGUGGGCGGGGGGAGAAGAUGCUGUCAGAAUUAAACCAAUGAGGUAAGCAGGGUCUCUGCCUUUGAGUGACUUACUAUGUCACUCACAGGGUGAAACUUAGCCAGCGCCUGCUCUGUGCGAAGCUCCGUGCUGGGUAAAACUUAGCCAGUGCCUGCUCUGUGCAAAGCUCCGUGCUGGGUGAAACUUAGCCAGUGCCUGCUCUGUGCGAAGCUUCGUGCUGGGUGUGGCGGUGGCCGCAGAGGUAAAGGGAGUGCCCUUCCGACCCCCGAGGGGCUCUUGCUCGUGUGAGGGAGGCUGCGGGCAUGUCAGUGGAUGAUGCUGGUGGGCGACAAGUGCUGCGGCCCAAAAGAGUGCUCAGGACACCUGGCGGGACUGAAGCAGGUCACCCCGAGGUUCUGGCUGGCCAGUUUCUUUCUUGGCAAGAACACAGCUCCGUGGAGGAAAAGGGAGAGGAAAUGGGGAUACAUCACAGAACGAGGGAUUCCGGUUUGAGCGAAGGAAGAACUUCCAGAUGGUGAAGGCUGUCGAUCACUGCAUAGAAAUACCAGAAAGAAAAAAAGAAAAGACAAAGAGAGGAAGAGAGAACUUUUCCAGCUUGGAAAUUCUGGGUCCACAUGUCCCCAGGGAAUAGUGACGAUCUGGACCCUCUCUGUCCUUAAAGGCCAUUAGAAGUCAAUUGUGUGGCCCUUCUCCAAGGUAUGCAAAGACAUUCCCAUGGUUUCUCAGGCCAACCCAUCGUGCCCAUGGGACCCCCUCAGGCAACUGACAUUCAGUGUACCCGACGGUUCUGAGACGCACAUUUUGCUUUGUGUCAGGUUCCCUGCAAACAGUUUCUGAGAUGGAGAUUUGCAUGUGGGUAGGUUGUGGGGAGCGCUCUUGGGAACCACAUCUGUUGGCAGUGGGUUGGGGCUGGGGGAACAAAGGGAGCAGAUUGGGCUGAGGGAGAUGAGCAAGCCCCUGGAGCAGAG
rnacentral:lncRNA from 1 species